UAACCUGUAAAUAAAAGGCUAUUGAAAAAAAAAAAAAAGAAGCAGCUUGAUUUAGAAUAUAGUGACAAUUUGUCUCCAUUGAAUCCUCCAGAUAAACUUUCUUCCCUGAAGAUAACUGUCAUCCCAUUUAUCCCUUUGGGUGUGCCAAAUGGUAUACCAAAUUCUAGCCCAUCUGUGUGAAAAGCUCCUUUGGAAGCAGCUAGUUCAUUGAAGAUAUUGUUCUUGAUCUAGGUAUGUAGGUUGUAUGUCAUCUUCUUUUUCUAGAAAUUCUGUAAAUCUGAAGAAUGAAACUACUGCAUUCUGUAAGACAUGGCAUUAGAAUAUAGAUUAGUAGUUCAUUUGUUUAUGUAGUUUAUUGAAACCAAAAUAUUAUCUUUUGAAUUGUCCCAUGUGGAAAAUUUUUUCAGAUCCUUUAAAUCUCCAAAGGAAACAUAUAGGAUAUUCUGGAACAUCUUUCUUGAAGAAAAAAAUAGUUCAAUUACUUUUACUCAAAAGGAAUAAUUACAGUAUUUCACAUGAAUCUUUAUGAUCUCCUUUCCUUCUAAGUUUUUGCCUAAUUCCCAUAAGGAUAGCCUGGGAAAGCAAAGGAUGACCACUAAGCUCUUGCCAACUGGGUCUCAAGCAUCAGUGACUUUUGAGGAUGUGGCCGUGUAUCUCACUCAAGAGGAGUGGGGUCAUCUAGGUCCUGCACAGAGGGGCCUCUACAAGGAUGUGAUGCUGGAGAAUUAUAGCAAUGUGGUCUCAUUAGGAUUUCCAAUCUCCAAACCGGAUGUGAUCUUACAACUAGAACAAAAAGGAGAACCAUGGUUUCUGGAUAUGCAGGGAACUAAAGGUAGAGAGAGUUUAAUAGGCAAGUAAAAAAAUCUGUAUUUCACUUUCAUUAAAAAUAAGAUUAUUUACAAUGUAUUUCAUUAAAAGGGACCCUAGAUUUCCCUUCUUAGCAAUUCAAUAAACAUUUAUCAAGUGCCUACUAUGUGCCAGGUACUGUGCUGGAGAUAUUAAAAAAGGCAAAAAACAGUCCCUGUCCUCAAAGAGCUUACAAAUUAAUGGGGGGACUGAGGGCACAACAUCCAAAUAAAUAUAUCCUAAGAAAAUUAUAUAUAGGAAAUAGAAAAUAGUUAACAGUAGAUGACUCUGGAAUUAAGAGGGGUUAGAAAGGAGUGGGAUUUUAGCAGAAUUUAAAGAAAGUCAGGAGGUCAGUAGUUGGAAUGGAACAGGGAAAGUAUUCUAGGCAAGGGUUGCAGCCAGAAAAAAAUGACCAGAGCUAAGAGAUGGAGUGUCUUGCUUAUGGAAUAACUAGGAGAUUGUUGUUGUCACUGAAUCAAAGAAUAUGUGUCAGGGUAUAAGACAACUAGAAAGUAGGAGAAAGUUAUUUUAUAUAAGACUUUGAAGGUCAAAUAGAAGAUUUUGCAUUUGCUUUUCCAGAUAAUAGGGAGCCACUGGAAUUUUUUGAAUCAGGAGUACAGUAUGUAUGUGUGACAUGAUCAAGGAAUUUUUAUCUGAUUUACCUUUUUCAUUUCAGGUUUGAAGGCCAUAGGAAAAUAAUCAUUACUUUCCUUUUUUCCCUGCAAAAUAAUCCCCUAAUCAACUUUCAUUUCAAGAUUUUUCUCCCUUUAGGUCACAGUUGGUUUUUUUUUU